CCUACGGGAGGCAGCAGUGGGGAAUAUUGGGCAAUGGGCGCAAGCCUGACCCAGCAAUGCCGCGUGAAGGAAGAAGGCUUUCGGGUUGUAAACUUCUUUGACAGGGGAAGAGCAGAAGACGGUACCCUGAAAACAAGCCACGGCUAACUACGUGCCAGCAGCCGCGGUAAUACGUAGGUGGCAAGCGUUGUCCGGAUUUACUGGGUGUAAAGGGCGUGUAGCCGGGCUGACAAGUCAGAUGUGAAAUUCCGGGGCUCAACCCCGGACCUGCAUUUGAAACUGUUGGUCUUGAGUAUCGGAGAGGCAGGCGGAAUUCCUAGUGUAGCGGUGAAAUGCGUAGAGAUUAGGAGGAACACCAGUGGCGAAGGCGGCCUGCUGGACGACAACUGACGGUGAGGCGCGAAAGCGUGGGGAGCAAACAGGAUUAGAUACCCUUGUAGUC
rnacentral:rRNA from 1 species